rnacentral:snRNA from 1 species
CGGUUGACGGCAACGUUAGG